rnacentral:rRNA from 1 species
UACGUAGGGUGCGAGCGUUUGUCCGGAAUUACUGGGCGUAAAGAGCUCGUAGGUGGUUUGUCGCGUUGUCCGUGAAAACUCACAACUCAAUUGUGGGCGUGCGGGCGAUACGGGCAGACGUGGAGUACUGCAGGGGAGACUGGAAUUCCUGGUGUAGCGGGUGGAAUGCGCAGAUAUCAGGAGGAACACCGGUGGCGUAAGGCGGGGU